AAUACUCGUUGUUGACGCUCAAUUUUCAAAAUUAAUAUAUGUAAAUAUAAAUUCUCCCAAAAUUGGAAGUAUCACUCAUAAUAUUUAUAACGUCUUUUAAUAAUAACACCGUAUGUUAAAUGUGGUGUUAUAAGAUUCAAGUAAUGUAAUAUCACUAAUGUCUAGUAACGAUGUAAGGAAACUCUAUUCUCAGGAAAAAUUCUAGUGUCGCCCAGUAUACUUUACCGACGAGAAGAAUUUAAGACGAUUUACACAAAUACACCGAUUUGUAGCAGCGGCAGUAGGAUAUUUUCUCCAACACAAUGGAAAGUAUAUUGGACAGAUGCUUUACCGCCAAGGCCUUCUGUUUCUGCUUGAGUCCUCGGAUCGGCGCGUUCAUAAUUUCCAUUCUGGGGGUUAUACCUUGUGUCUGCUAUACACUAUUUUGCUCGGAUGGAUCCGACUACUUGGCAAUGUACGGCGUGCCUGAGCAUACAGCUAUGGUAAUUGUUUAUAUUUUUAAAGCUCUGGGAAUUGUAUGUCUACUAAUGCAUGUAUUGCUAUUUGCUUCUUUUAUCUUUCCUUUUGAAACACUCGUUUUGAUGUAUCAAUGGUUUAUAAUAACAUAUUUAUUUUUCGAUGUUGUUCUCAUAUGUAUAAUAGGGCUAAUAGCUACGCAAAAAGGUUAUCUUUUUUUCGCGAUGACGCUUGGUGUUUACGAAAUUAUUACUUGGCUCAUUGUGGGUCUAAUCGUUUUACCAGUUGUAAAUGGUUACAGACAAAACUGUUUAAAAAAUAAGUUUUUUGGUAACAAGGACGAUAAUUUAAAUACGUGUGAAAAUGUUUAGUGCAAUUAAAAUGUUAUGGU